AGUUUAGCCUUUUUGCAAGUCUUUGCUGCUUGCAGCCUGCAAAUGUAUCAUUUUGUUCUGGAGACCGCCCCUUUUCCUGGGGAUAGAAGGCUCCAUUUUGAGAAGCCUAUUCUGCCUUCUAGACUAAAGGAGAAGCAACAUAGAUGUGCUUGUGUGGCCAAGCCAGGCCAACUCUGAAAAGGCCAUCCCGCACUGGCGACGAAGGUGAGAUUGUGAGGAAGACCUCCCCAGCAGAACUCAGAGCCGAGGCAGACUCCCAGGAGAAGAUGUGGUCAGGCAAAUAGGCUGAACCCAAGUCAUGCAAGGCUUUAUAGGUGUGCCUCACAGGCUGGACUUUCAAUCUUAUGAGAGUGGUGCUUGAUGGGGUGAAGCAGAAGGUUGAGAAAAGCUGCUGGAAUUAGGCAUAUGAUGCAACAGGCACCUAAGUUGGUACUAUGCAGAUGGCACACACUUGCUCCAAUUAGUCACCAUCAGUUCACCACAAAUGUGCCACAUGAUGAUUGCCUACUUCUGGAUCAGUCAAGUAACAGUGUGGAGGAAUGUGGACUAAAUACAUAUUUUCUGAAAACAUUCUCUUGAUGCUGUCUCCUUCCAAAGAUAUAUACAUUCACUGGCUCGCAGAAAAGAAUUAUAAAAAGCAUAUGACGGCUUUACAGACUAUUGCAAUUUGCAAGCUGUUUAGAGAAAAGAAAGGCUGCUUACUCUAUGUGUUCUUGAGUGUAUUCCUUUCCAGAAAAAAAAAUCUUCAUGAAAAGUGCCUUGGAAAACCCUAUGGGCUAGGAGGCCAUACAAAAUAAAUACUGGCAAAUUAACUGGCAAGCGGACAGCCUGAACUGAGAACAUAGCAUAUUGCUAAAAGCUACAACAGCUCUCAUCCUACUAGGGUCCUAAUCCAGAUCAUCCCCUUUGGAUUUAUUUGAAGUAAAAAAAGUAGUUAAACAAGCAGGUUGUUUCUUAAUUAUAAAUGAAGCCAUAUUACAUUCUUCCAAAUCUUUUAAUAGAACUAUCCUGUGGUUGCGGGCUAUGGACAAAAUUGAGGGAAGUGAUGCAAUUUAAGUGCCCAUUUAACAUCAUGUACUUCCUCAUUUGGAAAAACAAUUGUUCAUUACAGGAAAUGCUAAACUUUGAGUGUAAGAUGUAAUAUAAAUAAAGAAACACAAGCACUAAGAGCAGAUUCAUUGCUACAAGCAAAGUUGCAAGCAUGCUGGCCAGGAAUUGCAUGCCAUCCAAUAUGGUAAAUAAAGUCACACACAUAUUCCCUGAAAAGCCCAUAACAUAGUAAUAAGAAGGUAUGCAGCUCUUUCAUUUGAACAGCUUAUUUAGAAACAGCACAGGCUAACAAUACAAUUAAAGCUGGCUAAAACAAAAAGUAAAAGAAAGUAUCUGCCAAGCACAGCUGAAGGACAUAAUGCUUGCUUUACUGAAAAAUACUUACCAUGCUUGUUACCUGGGUGUAACAAUAAAGAGUUUGUUAAAAGGCUUCUAUAUGGGUGCAAUUUAUCAGAAAAAUAUGCUACAGCACAAUUAAAAAUGGAAGAGUUUCUUGCUAAUUUAAGACGGGUUAGGAAUUUUCA